rnacentral:lncRNA from 1 species
GGCCACCACCGCGCUGGCGCGGAGAGAGGGAGGACCGGGCGUCAUGCUGUUUCUGGCCUGAGGGGUAUUCCCUCAGCGGAUACUACACCCAUCCAUUUCAAGGCUAUGAGCACAGACAGCUCAGGUACCAGCAGCCUGGGCCAGGAUCUUCCCCCAGUAGUUUCCUGCUUAAGCAAAUAGAAUUUCUCAAGGGGCAGCUCCCAGAAGCACCGGUGAUUGGAAAGCAGACACCGUCACUGCCACCUUCCCUCCCAGGACUCCGGCCAAGGUUUCCAGUACUACUUGCCUCCAGUACCAGAGGCAGGCAAGUGGACAUCAGGGGUGUCCCCAGGGGCGUGCAUCUCAGAAGUCAGGGGCUCCAGAGAGGGUUCCAGCAUCCUUCACCACGUGGCAGGAGUCUGCCACAGAGAGGUGUUGAUUGCCUUUCCUCACAUUUCCAGGAACUGAGUAUCUACCAAGAUCAGGAACAAAGGAUCUUAAAGUUCCUGGA